UCAAAAACUAUGUGUAAAGAUUCAAAUCGAAAUACGUUAGAACACUAGCGCCACCAUGCGACGUAUUGCCACACGGAAUGUGAACCAUGUCCGCCAUAUUUGAUUUUGAACUCUCGGAGAGCUGUCAAAAUUCUAGAUAACAAACAUAAACAAUAACAAGUAGCAGCAGUAGAGCAGACCAGACAUCUUUCCGGAUGAGUAACCACAGAUUAAUUAAAUAGUGAUACAAUAAAACAAACCCGCGAAAGUGAUGAGCUGUAAUUUAUUUCAAAGUUCUUUCAUUUUUAGACAAUUUCAUGUUAACUGUGUUACACUUCUGGAAGUUUUGGAUUAGCGUAUUGAAAACAUAGUCCACAAGUUUAUCGAAGCACACCUGACAUGCCGCAAAAUCGAACAAUUUGUAAUCAAGGAAAUCAUCGUCCUGUUGGGCUGUCAAUUUCUCACGGCACUUAUUGUGCUGAACUUUUCCUACUGCUGCUCCGAGAACGUAGACGAGGGCAUUUAGCUCCUUCUGUUGAGCUAUCAAUGGAACGGAAUAAUCGAGAGGCUCAAAAUCGUAUUCUGGAUAUUCAUCUGAUGCAGGCGGAGGAAAGUAAUCCAAAUCAUCCUCAUUGAGAAGAGGAACUGCCUGGUCGUUUUGGCAAUUCUUGCCAUCAAAGGAGUUUUCCUCAGCAGCCGCAAUCAUCGCGUACUUGAAGGCACUGCCGAAUUGAAAAGCAUUCGGAGCAUCAUUGAAUCCGCAACGGCGCCUGAUUUCAGCGAAAAAAUUCUCUAGGCAGUCCUGGCAAAGUGGAUUGGUGCAGAGAUGACUACACUUGUAUUCUUCCUUAAGUAUCUUCCACAACCAAAGCAAUGCGUAGAUAUUACCAAUUAGACCAAUCAAAUAAUGUGGCCGCCUUUGGGUACACUUCAAUUUUUUUGAAUCCGUUUUUGCCUGAAAUAAAUACUCUGUAUUAAACACUGUGUUAAACACUAGAAAGUAUUAGACAGUUGAAUGUAAUAUAUUAAUAAAAAUUAGAAAUUAUAGAAAUUUGUAAAAUUA